GGUUGCGAUCAUAUCAGCACUAAUGCACCGGAUCCCAUCAGAACUCCGCAGUUUAAGCGUGCUUGGGCGAGAGUAGUACUAGGAUGGGUGACCCCCUGGGAAGUCCUCGUGUUGCAACUG
rnacentral:rRNA from 1 species